rnacentral:rRNA from 1 species
GAAGUGGCGCACGGGUGAGUAACGCGUGGGAACCUGCCCAGAGGUACGGGAUAACGGCUGGAAACGGCCGCUAAUACCGUAUGUCCCCUGCGGGGGAAAGAUUUAUCGCCUUUGGAGGGGCCCGCGUCCGAUUAGCUAGUUGGUGAGGUAAUGGCUCACCAAGGCUUCGAUCGGUAGCUGGUCUGAGAGGAUGAUCAGCCACACUGGGACUGAGACACGGCCCAGACUCCUACGGGAGGCAGCAGUGGGGAAUAUUGGACAAUGGGGGCAACCCUGAUCCAGCAAUGCCGCGUGUGUGAUGAAGGCCUUAGGGUUGUAAAGCACUUUCACUGGUGAAGAUGAUGACGGUAGCCAGAGAAGAAGCCCCGGCUAACUCCGUGCCAGCAGCCGCGGUAAUACGGAGGGGGCAAGCGUUGUUCGGAAUUACUGGGCGUAAAGGGCGUGUAGGCGGCGAUUUUAGUCAGGCGUGAAAGCCCGGGGCUCAACCUCGGAAUAGCGCUUGAUACUGGAUCGCUUGAGACCGGAAGAGGGUAGUGGAAUUCCCAGUGUAGAGGUGAAAUUCGUAGAUAUUGGGAAGAACACCAGUGGCGAAGGCGGCUACCUGGUCCGGAUCUGACGCUGAG